rnacentral:ribozyme from 1 species
UGAUUUUUCCCUUUGGUCAUAGCAGAAGCAUUCUUGUCAUGGCCCGUCAGAUUCCUGUGAAUCUGCGAAUUCUGCU